UACGAAGGGGGCUAGCGUUGUUCGGAAUUACUGGGCGUAAAGCGCGUGUAGGCGGGCCGUUAAGGCGGGGGUGAAAGCCCAGAGCUCAACUCUGGAAUUGCCUUCGAUACUGGCGGCCUGGAGCAUGAUAGAGGCGAGUGGAAUUGCGAGUGUAGAGGUGAAAUUCGUAGAUAUUCGCAGGAACACCAGUGGCGAAGGCGACUCGCUGGAUCAUUGCCUACGCUGAGACGCAAAAGCGUGGGGAGCAGACAGG
rnacentral:rRNA from 1 species